rnacentral:rRNA from 1 species
AUUGAACGCUGGCGGCAUGCCUUACACAUGCAAGUCGAACGGCAGCGCGGACUUCGGUCUGGCGGCGAGUGGCGAACGGGUGAGUAAUACAUCGGAACGUACCCUGUUGUUGGGGAUAACUAGUCGAAAGAUUAGCUAAUACCGCAUACGACCUGAGGGUGAAAGUGGGGGACCGCAAGGCCUCACGCAUCAGGAUCGCCCGAUGUCUGAUUAGCUAGUUGGUGGGGUAAAGGCCCACCAAGGCGACGAUCAGUAGCUAGUCUGAGAGGACGAUCAGCCACACUGGGACUGAGACACGGCCCAGACUCCUACGGGAGGCAGCAGUGGGGAAUUUUGGACAAUGGGGGCAACCCUGAUCCAGCAAUGCCGCGUGUGUGAAGAAGGCCUUCGGGUUGUAAAGCACUUUUGUCCGGAAAGAAAUAGCGCUGGUUAAUACAUGGCGUGGAUGACGGUACCGGAAGAAUAAGCACCGGCUAACUACGUG